UACGGAGGGUGCAAGCGUUGUCCGGAUUUAUUGGGUUUAAAGGGUGCGUAGGCGGCCCGGUAAGUCAGUGGUGAAAGCCUCCAGCUCAACUGGAGAACUGCCAUUGAUACUGCCGGGCUUGAGUACAGACGAGGUUGGCGGAAUUGAUUGUGUAGCGGUGAAAUGCAUAGAUACAAUCAAGAACUCCGAUUGCGUAGGCAGCUAACUAGGCUGUAACUGACGCUGAGGCACGAAAGCGUGGGGAGCGAACGGG
rnacentral:rRNA from 1 species